AUGACAGUGGAGAAGAAAUCCUUACAGCAGCAGCUGCUGCCAGGUGAUUGCACUGCACCAUCAUGGCCUUCUGCAGAGAAGCACAGCUGCAUCCUCACCUUGCCUGAUGCAUCCAAACUGUACAGCUGCUGUUCAUUCCCACCUCCCAAGAUGGACUUUGAAGGACAGAAGAACCUGAGGAUGUGGUUCAGGAGAAAGAUAAACUGAAUAGCCUCAAGCCUGCCUAUGUCAGCAAAGGGAGAAAAGGAUUUUACUUCGCAGCCAGUUAUCUGAAGAGCUGUAACUAAGGCUGGAUAUCUGUGUCCCCUCAUGCCACAUUAUUGCCACAUUAUCUUUCUUAACAGGUGAGUGUUUGUUUGUGACUAUGAGGUUCCAAUAGCUACUGCAAUGUGAUCUUACCCUGGAGAGCUGCAUACUCUGGUGGGAGAUGUGCUUUGAGAGAAAACAAGUAUAAAGCACUAAUGAUUGGCUUGGUCUGGAUAAACAGAGGUUUCACACUUCAAACUAGAUGUACACUGAAGAAAUGUCAUUGUGGAGCCUAAUUGGAUUGAACAACACUUUGUCCUCUCCAGGGAGAUAGUAUUGGAUGAUGACUUCCAGCAAAACAUCAUGGUACCCCAUGAAGUCAGAGGCUGGUCUUGAUGUUGAGAUUCUGUUCUGGGCUACCUGGGAAAACGCUUUCCAAUUAUGAAGUUUCUGGAUAUCCUAAAGCCCUAAAGGACACCUACUCCAAGGAGACAGACAGAUAACAAUAGGUGCAGCCAGUAUUUUGACCACAGUUUUAAAGUAGUUCUAAAAUUUCAUUACUUUAUUUAAGACCCCCAGCUAAAGCAAGAUUUAUCAGUCUGCAGUGAGCAGCAGGUUCUCAUAAGAGCUCAGCAGUAAGCAGACAGCAAACUGCAUUACUUGAAUGAAAAAGUGAAGUGUCAUAUAAGCUCUACUCUAUUGGAAAUGGAUUAAAACAGAGCCUGUGGCCUUCUCACUAAAUCACAAAAGAGACGUACUUCUGUGAAUACUAUUUUUCCCCAGUUUUUCAAAGGAACUCCUUUCUAAAAAAAAACUCCUACAAAAAAAAAAUAGUAGAUUCCUUCUUUCUCCACAGAGCUUUCUUCCAUAUGAGACAAGAGUGUCUCCAGGGGACAGAGAGGCCCAGGAAAGAGCUCUUGUUCAUGCCUGGGGAUUCAGGAUCAAGAAGGCUGUGCCCUCUUUCCAAGCAAUGAUGUCUGUUGAAUAUUCUCCGUUGUGAGUAUAAUCCCCAAAGCUAAGGGAGUACUGAAGUCAUUUCUCCCCUCUCUGCCCUCAGCAAGACUGAACCUCUGGAGAGGAUAUAGUCAUUAUGUUGGUCAUGCUAAUGUAGUGCCUAAAAGAGGAAGCAUUCUCUUGAAACAUUAGUAAAGCUCGCAGAAUGGUGAUCAGCAAGUGAAAUGUUGGAGAACAACACUUCCUGACUCACCAGCAGUGCUAAUGCAAUCGGAUGAAUGUCUACAUUUUAAAAGACGAAAAUAGUUUACAGACUCUUUUGAAGUCUAAAGGCUUCCAACCACAAACACAGAAACACCCCUGUAAUGUAUCUUUAUCAGUUUUGCCAGCUGAAUGGUGAGAUGAUACUGGGCAAUACAGACAAUAGAAAACUGUAGCCAGGUCUUCAAUGACUGUUCCAUCACAGUACUAAAGUCUCAGUCAAAGUGUAAAGUUCAAAGGUGAUAUGACUGCAUCUUUGUGAGAUCUUUCACAGGAAAGAGAUGUGCUUGAUAGUGUUUUGUCUUACAUGCUCUCUCACUGCUUAGCUGCAAAAAUAGCUGGUAGUUCAGGUAUUUAUUAUUUUUCUGCAUAUGGAUUGCACCAGAUUUUUCUGAUCUCUUUGGCUCUCAUCCAGAUGGAUGAGUUUUGAAAUAGAUUUUUCUGGCCCGCAUGAUUUCAUCUUGAGCUGAAUGAAAAAGUACAAAUAGCAUUGAACAAACCCGGUUCUCAUUGCUUCCCUUAUCUCCAGAUUAUGAUGGCUUUUAGACUUUGUCAGGGUCAGGCCUGUAGUCUGUCUGUGGCGCAGCAGUCUUAAUUUCAAACUAAGUGGAUGACAAAUCAAAAAAUAAUGUUGUAUGAAACAAUAAGUGAUAGCAAAAUCCUCCAUUGAAAAUCAAACUUUUGCUUAUGAUGUUUAAAUCUCAGAGCUGAAACAGACAUUUACCCCAUUCUCUUUUCUGUCCUGAGUAUACAUAUUAUCCUUCAGCUGAGAUUUUUUUAUUGAUGAAAGUUUAUUUAAAAAGACUGGAUUCUGAAGAAAAUCCAAUUUAUAAGAUAAAUCAUAUUCAAGCUCUAAAAAUAUUGACAAUAUUUGAUUCUGAUUUUGAUUUUAAUCAUAUGUUUCCUCUUUAUUCUGUUAGUGAACCAUGUCAACAUAUAUUGAUUUACAUAUGAAAAAGCAAAGUACUGAUUCAUGGUAAAGGUCAACAAUACUGAAAUAGAUCUUACUGGCAUGCAAACCUAAUAGUUACUGUGAGUAGACUGUAGCACAUUUAACAGGGUGAAGAACAUGAGAACAUGUAUCUAAUCUGGUGGUUUUGCCCUAUCUCUCUGUCUACAAUAACUGAACAAACAAAUAAAUGAUAAAAAUCACACCAAAGUGUUCAUCUACCAGCAAACAGAGUGAACUUCUAGUUCCAGAAGAAAAUACUACUCAACCAAUAAGGUCUUAAAAGAUAAUGUGUAAAGAAAAACAAUAAAGAAAAAAUAAUUUUGAAAUGGAUGUAUUUCCUUAUGUGACAGGAAAUGCUCUAAGGGAUAAUAUGGGGAGAAGAAUUUGACCAUAAUAAAAUUUCCUACACGGUCCCGCUUGACAGUCCUACCUUGAACCAGAGCGUGGUCUGGCUGGAAGCACAGCUAGGUGGACACAGUCGGUUGGAAAGCUGCUCUCAGAAGUUUGCUGUCAAAAAGGCAUCUUAAUGGGGUCCCAGGGGAAUAUGUCUGGAGACAGAACUAUUUGAUGUUUUCAUUAGCCACCUGGAUGAUGGAAGAGAAGGUAUGCUUAUGAAAUUUGCUGACAGCUCCAAGCUAGGACAGAUGACAAGCGGUAUGAAGGAUGGGAUCUGAAUUCAAAAUGAUCUUAAUGCACAGGAGAGAGGGAGAGAACACAGAGAGAGAGAGAGUAGGAGAGGCAAGAGCAAAGAUCUACAUUUAAAGAAGAGAAAGAAAGUGAAUAAAUACAAAAUGAAGAGUAAGUGGUUAGACAUUAUCCUGGCAGGAAAAGAUACGGAGCUAGCAGUAGAUUGCAAACUGGCUGCAGAUCUGUCUGUGUUAUCAUUCUGUCACAGAAGUGGCAAGUUAUAGACUGGGUGCUAUUAAUGAUAGAGACAAAUAAAACUGAAGGAAAUCAGUUAUUAUUACUCGUGUUAAUAUCUCAAAAAGAUUCUUCUAAAUACAGGUGAAAGGUUAUCUGAAGAUUAUUCAGUUACAGCUUUCUGCAUCUCAGCCAGCCUUUUAUACCUGAAACAUCCCUAUGGAAAAACAAGGAUAAAAUCCAUUGUUGUAUUUAUGCUCAGUCCUGUGGUAGUGAUGCUUCUAGCUUCCAUUUUGGAGUCUAGUUUUCAAGAGUAUAUGCAGCUUGGAAAUAUAAAGAGAAAGUGGCACUGAGGUUAAAGAAGAGCUAGUUUGCCUGGCAUAUUUCUUCUCUUCUGAUUUUUGAAUCCUUUCAUUCCUGCCACCCCCACACC
rnacentral:lncRNA from 1 species